CCUACGGGUGGCAGCAGUGGGGAAUAUUGGACAAUGGGCGAAAGCCUGAUCCAGCCAUGCCGCGUGUGUGAAGAAGGCCUUCGGGUUGUAAAGCACUUUCAGUGGGGAAGAAAGCCUUGGGGCUAAUACCCUCGAGGAAGGACAUCACCCACAGAAGAAGCACCGGCUAACUCCGUGCCAGCAGCCGCGGUAAUACGGAGGGUGCGAGCGUUAAUCAGAAUUACUGGGCGUAAAGCGCGCGUAGGCGGUCUGAUAAGCCGGUUGUGAAAGCCCCGGGCUCAACCUGGGAACGGCAUCCGGAACUGUCAGGCUAGAGUGCAGGAGAGGAAGGUAGAAUUCCCGGUGUAGCGGUGAAAUGCGUAGAGAUCGGGAGGAAUACCAGUGGCGAAGGCGGCCUUCUGGACUGACACUGACGCUGAGGUGCGAAAGCGUGGGUAGCAAACAGGAUUAGAUACCCUUGUAGUC
rnacentral:rRNA from 1 species